AAAAAGACAAACCUUGAUUUCCGUUUCCAAUGUUUGACUGUUCGUCUUAUUUAAAAAAGUUAUAAAAAAUUAAAAAGAUAAGUCAUGCAUAAAAUAUUAAUCAUGUUUUAUCAUCUAACAACAAUGAAAAUACUAAUUAUAAAAAAAAUCAUAUAAGACGGACAAUUAAACGUUAACACGGGAAUCCACGGUUUGCUUGUU
rnacentral:pre_miRNA from 1 species